ACUCAAAGCAGAGCAUAUGAUUUCAACAAAAAAAUUGAUUUUCCUUUGUAAAAGUUGGACCUAAAUAGUGAGCUAUUUUUGUCCCAUAAUUGUCUUAAGUUGUCUAAUGGUGGAACAAAUCCUUGAUGCUAGGACUUUGAUUUCCUUGGAAGAACAGGAAAAAAAGUCAUGCAUAUACAGCCUUACAGGCUCUAUUUUAUGGAGGAAGCAUGAUAAAAAGGAAACAGAAAAUCAGAAUUCUCUUCUGGAACCUACAUUGGGACUGUCCUCAGAGCAGGUUGUGAUGUGAGGAAUCUAAUCUACGGGAGGUAUUUCACAGCUCGGAGUGCAGCAGACAGUUCCUGACCCCAUGCAUUUGGGGGUGAGAUCAGAGACAGUUGAAAGACUAUGGAGUCUUGACGUUCUGCACGCUCAACCCUGGCCUCUCCCUGAAUUUCACAGAUUAACAUCAGACCAAUUUACUCCCACUAUUAAAAAUAUUAAAACAAAACCCGAGGAGGAACAGUGGAGCAGAAGCAAUAAAUCAUUAAAAUGGACAUCCUAAAGGUUUAAAAUUUUGCCAUCAUAAGAUGUGAACGUUUGAAGAGCUACAUUUAAAUGAAUACAAGAAGGAACUGAAACAAGAACACGAAAAAAAGAGACGGCCAGAAACCAUCAAAAAAUAUUAAAGAAAUAAUCAAAUAGAAUGUCUAGAAAUCAUUACAAUUACUCCAGAAAACAAAAUGGAAGCUAAACAGCAGAUUCAAUGCCUCUAUAGAGAUUAUUAGAAUAUCAAAGAUGGAUCUCAAGAAAUCACCUAGAAUGCAGCACAGAAAAUUAAAUGUAAAAUACAAAAAAGUGAAGGAACAAAGAAAAAAUGAAGUUCUAGUAUAUUAGAAAGUAUAUAAUGUUUAAUUGAACUUUUUCUUAUUUUCUUGUAUAUAAUUGAAGUUUCAGAAAGAGAAAAUAAGGCAAAUUGCCUGACGUGAUUUUUUAUGUGAUGUUAGCUGAGCAUGUUCCUGAGAUGUUUGAGGACUGAAAUCCUUGUUGAAGAAUUCAGAUGAAUUACAAGACGAAUAGGCAGGUCCCAGUGAAAUUGCAGACCACAAAUGACAAAGAAAAUAUUUUAUAGCAAUCAAAAGGGAAAGAUAAAUAUCCUCCAGUGGAAUAGAAUGAAGGAAAUAGUCAAAGUCAAGAAAAAGGAUUAAAAAUAACCAUUAAAUCAGAAUUGUAGUCCUCAUUUAUUGAAGAUUGAGAUGGAUUAAAAAUACCUACACGACAGGAAAAGAAAAUAUGUAAAACUAAAAGAAUUCUGUGAGUUUGCCACCAAGGUAUGUUUUCUGAAUUAUAGUUAACAAGGGUGGGAAAUGAUUCCAGAAGAAAGGCAAGAGGGCAGUUGGUGAGGGAACCCAUGUGAUGGGACAAUCCCAUUGGGCACGUGUGAGUAGGGGAAUGGAGGAGGCUGGGGCAUCAAUGGGGAUGGCAGAGGGCACUCUGACUUGGAGGAAAGACAAUGAGCUCAUCCCUUGAUGCCUGGUGUUGGGGGCACUGUUGGCACAUCCUACAGAAUGUGCCCAGCAGACAGAGGAGCGGCUGUGGGAUGAGAAGGUGAACUCGGAGAUGCAGCGUGAGGCCUCCGGGUCCAGACAGCAUGGGAGCCCAAAGCGAUGUCCCAUGCAAUAACGUUGUUUACAAGGAGCUUAUAAAUAUUUAAAGUAGUCACCCAAGUGUGUUCUAAUAUAAAUCCUGUGUUCCUGAGGUCAUGCAGAUUGAGACAGGAUGCGAUGUCACGAUGGGAACUUCCGUGUAAGGACAGGGGCGUCCCUCCUCCUCUCUUCCUGCUCACAGUGAUCCUGAUCUGGUAAAGCUCCCAUCCUGCCCUGACCCUGCCAUGGGCACCAGGUUCCUCUGCUGGGCGGCCCUCUGUCUCCUGGGGGCAGAUCACACAGGAGCUGGAGUCUCCCAGUCCCCCAGUAACAAGGUCACAGAGAAGGGAAAGGAUGUAGAGCUCAGGUGUGAUCCAAUUUCAGGUCAUACUGCCCUUUACUGGUACCGACAGAGCCUGGGGCAGGGCCUGGAGUUUUUAAUUUACUUCCAAAGCAACAGUGCACCAGACGAAUCAGGGCUGCCCAGUGAUCGCUUCUAUGCAGAGAGGUCUGGGGGAUCCAUCUCCACUCUGAAGAUCCAGCGUACACAGCAGGAGGACUCGGCCAUGUAUCUCUGUGCCAGCAGCUUAGCCACAGCGUGGCACAGUCGCCUCCUUCCUGCUCAUAAACCUCAUCCUUCUUUCUCCUUGCAGCUCCUAGAGACCCUUAACAGAGGCCUCUCUUUGCUCCUCCCUCCCCAUGGGAAACAAGUAGAUUUGGACCUCAGCUUGUCCUUUGGGUAGAAAGAGACCACAGAUUCACCCCUAAGACACACUAACUAUAAAUGUGGGUGGUGGAAGCAAUCGUGGCCCACCGGGCUCUAGGAGUCCUCAGAACCAGCUCAUUGCUCUAAGGCAAGCACUGGGUGUCUUAGCCUUGGCUUUCAGGGCUGGGACACGCAGUCUUCUUUGGGGCCUGGGAGGUUGCUGCCCACAUAGAGAAGCUUCAGGCAUGGCCGAGGAACAAGCGUCUUCCCCUGCAUGUGUUGGGGCAUCUGCAAGGCCUGAAGCUUCAUCCACAAGAACAUUCUUUCUUCUGAAGCCUCUCCUGUCACAUUGGAAGUUUUCUGCAAUACAAGAGCAAACCAUUCUUCCUGUUUGACUUAAAAGUCUUUGUGGCUUUUGUGGUCAUUACUUGGUGAAUACAGCCAUGAUAACAAUAAGACUUCGUUUCUUUUGCCUAGUGUAAGCAAUGCGAGUUCUUUAUUUUGUUUUCAUUUACCACUGCUCCUGUCCUGAGAGACAGAAGCAUGCAUCCACUACUGCUCCAGUGUCAACUUGGUUCCCUAGGAAAUGGGGUUUCUAGAACCUGAAUGCUGACAAAUAGGAGUUGUAUAUAUGUAUACCAUGCAACCUGCAUUUAAAAAUGUAUGUACAUGGUGCAGUGACUAAAUCUAGCUAAUUAACAUACGCAGUACCUCAAUCCUUAUCCUUUCUUGUGGUGAGAAUACUUGAAAUGUACUCUGUUAGCAAUAUUCCAGAAUACAAUCCACUGUUACUAACUUUAGUCACUGUGUUGUACAAUAGAUCUUUUGAACUUCUUCCUCCUAUUUGAGUGAAAUUUUGUAUCCUUUAACCAACAUCUGCCCAGCACCCCAUCUCCACCCCAACCUCUGGUAAUUGCUGCUCUAGUCUUUUGAUUUGAAAUAAUUUCCCAGAGAUCUUUAACUCGAGA